GUUUGGAAAAAACAGGAAAAUACAGUUUUGUAGAUGUUGGGACUAUAUAUCUAUGAACACAAAGGGAAACAAAACCAGGAGAGGAGAGACGGGGUGGAGGAGCCCUGCUUGUGCCUGACACACUGCUUGGGGACUUGACAGUCUGACUCCUGCUCCAAGCCCUGCCUUCAGACUACUGCCUGACCUCAGGCCACACCCAAAAAACAAGUGAGACUAUAUUGGACAAAUCCUCCUCUGGCAGUGGGCCGAUCAGCCAGAGCAUCAUUCGCCGAGUCCCGACCUAUUUCACACCAUGCAAAAUCACUGCGGGAAAAGGCUGACAAGGUCCAGACAAUUCAUAGCACUCUACCUUUGCUCAUGACAGUAACACCAGCCAAUUGCUAGCGUCUCGGUGUCUGGCCAAAGUGGAUGGCAGACGGCUGUCUGAAGCUGGGACCUGGGAAAAUGGGGAUAACAUCAGGAAAAAACAAAAACAUCUUACAUACCUACUACUCCCAUCUCAUCCCGCUCUGGGGAGAUGCCUACUUGCCGUGGACUGAGUCAGUGCCCGGUCUUGUGGUCCUUCAGCACUCCAUGCUUGCAGACUUGGGGCUGUUGGCACAUCUUGUCCUACCUGCUGCGUGCAGGGACUUUGCAGCCAACACUGCAAACCAGCGGCUUGGCUAUUUCCACCCUGUUUUGGCUGUUUUGGCCUACCUGCCUGUGUGAACAAACAUGCAGCCUCCGCAGUGGGUCAAGCAGGUCAGGAUGGAGCAACAGCAUCUACUUGGGUGUAUUUGGUGGCUCCUUUGAAAAAUCUCCCCGGAUUUUUAUUGGAUCUUAGGUUACCACAAAGUAUCUGCCUGGAUCUGUGCUUUGAUUCUCCACUCCGUAGAUUUAUCCCAGGCUGGCUGGGGUAGCGCCUUUCCCUCAGAGACCACAACUGACAGCUCUCUUCUCAAGGAGAGGGAGGAAUGGGGCAGUGGUUGUGUUUUGAGGGUGGGGAGAGGGAAAGGCUAUUUGAGGCCACUGUUUGCACGGGUGAGCUUCAGGACUGGUGAGGAUGAUCAGGAACCAUCUUAUUUCUCCUUCCCUGGAUUGCUAACUCCAACUGGGGGACUACCACUCCUGGCUCUUCCAUUGCCCCCCUCCCCAGGUCACACGUUCCUGGAUCUCCCUACCCAGCCGUGCCACUCCAGCUCUACCUCAACCUCCCCACUGCUCUACAGGCAAGUCCCAGCCCUUCAGUUGCAGUGUGGCAAAAUUCAGUUUUGCCUGUGUGCCUGCGCUGGCUCUUCAUAAAAUUUGGCUCUUCAAAUCAAAAAGUUGGCUCUUCAUAA